GAUGAACGCUGGCGGCGUGCCUAAUACAUGCAAGUCGAGCGAACAGACGAGGAGCUUGCUCCUCUGACGUUAGCGGCGGACGGGUGAGUAACACGUGGAUAACCUACCUAUAAGACUGGGAUAACUUCGGGAAACCGGAGCUAAUACCGGAUAACAUGUUGAACCGCAUGGUUCAACAGUGAAAGACGGUUUUGCUGUCACUUAUAGAUGGAUCCGCGCCGCAUUAGCUAGUUGGUAAGGUAACGGCUUACCAAGGCAACGAUGCGUAGCCGACCUGAGAGGGUGAUCGGUCAAACUGGAACUGAGACACGGUCCAGACUCCUACGGGAGGCAGCAGUAGGGAAUCUUCCGCAAUGGGCGAAAGCCUGACGGAGCAACGCCGCGUGAGUGAAGAAGGUCUUCGGAUCGUAAAACUCUGUUAUUAGGGAAGAACAAAUGUGUAAGUAACUAUGCACGUCUUGACGGUACCUAAUCAGAAAGCCACGGCUAACUACGUG
rnacentral:rRNA from 1 species